UACGGGGGGGGGCAAGCGUUGUUCGGAAUUACUGGGCGUAAAGGGCUCGUAGGCGGCCAACUAAGUCAGACGUGAAAUCCCUCGGCUUAACCGGGGAACUGCGUCUGAUACUGGAUGGCUUGAAUCCGGGAGAGGGAUGUGGAAUUCCAGGUGUAGCGGUGAAAUGCGUAGAUAUCUGGAGGAACACCGGUGGCGAAGGCGGCAUCCUGGACCGGUAUUGACGCUGAGUGAGCGAAAGCCAGGGGAGCAAACGGG
rnacentral:rRNA from 1 species